CUUCCCCUUCAUAUUUUAUUAUUGGCACAUGAUAUUUAAGCCAGGAGUCUCGAUCAUAGCUUCAGCUUCUUGAGAGAGCAGUUAAAGAAAUCUGGAUUCUGCCACUGGAAGCUUGAAUGAGCCUUAAAUUUGGGUUCAACUCGAGUCACGAGGUGAAACUUGGAGACUUGGCAGAUUAACUGCAAAGCAAGCUCAUUUAAAUCAAACUCAGAGAGAUUGCUUACUUGUAAUUAUUUUUAACCUAUACACAUUUGUUCCCGUUCGUGCUCCCGGGAUGUGGAAGUUAAACUGAUCGAGUUCAGAUAUUUGGAUCAUUAGAAAGUAGAAAUUGGGUUAUAGAGGAGGAAGGAAUACCUUCAUACCUAAUUAACCCAAAGGGACCACCUUCUUCAAUUUGCGUUGUGGCAUGUGAGAGCCCAUGGAUGGGAUGAAUUACCUGCUUUGGGGCUCUCUUCAUCACAAUCUUAUGGUGCACCCUUUCUUCUUUUCUUGGCGAGAUGGAACAUGGAUUUGAUGCUCUCAUCCUGGAUCUACCUCCUUGUCAGAUUCCUCAAUGAUUACUGAUGGCUCCUCGAUAUUUUGGAUCCAUCGUGUUGUCAGGGGUCUGCGGGCAUAAACCCUUGCUCUUCUGUAGAAUCUUGUUCUUACAGUAUUAUCUGAUGAUGCCUGCUAGGUAAACAACGAUGCACUCAAAAUGCACCUGAAGCAAGCUCAACAAAGUUUGUAUGUCAUGCCAGUAGUCUCAUU